CGUGUAGGCGGCCAAACAGGUCCGUUGUGAAAACUGGAGGCUCAACCUCCAGACGUCGACGGAAACCGUAUGGCUAGAGUCCGGAAGAGGAGAGUGGAAUUCCUGGUGUAGCGGUGAAAUGCGCAGAUAUCAGGAAGAACACCUAUGGCGAAGGCAGCUCUCUGGGACGGUACUGACGCUGAGACGCGAAAGCGUGGGGAGCGAACA
rnacentral:rRNA from 1 species